rnacentral:lncRNA from 7 species
ACCUCGAAUAGCCAGAAACUAUCGCCAGCAAAGGGAGAACGCCGAGGUGAGAGAGAUAAUGCGGUGGUGGUGCUCAUGGUCGGAUGAAUGGGGGUGUCGAGCUAUGCGCGGUUGACGUCCUCAUCGGAGCAAACCCCUUCACCGUUGGUUGCCUUGUACCGUGGCCUGGGAAGUCGGUGACUGCUCAUCAUGGUAGGAGGCCCCGACCGACCGUGCAACCGUGUGCCGACGCUGUGGCUGUGCGCCAAUGAAAUCACGUGAGGUCGUGAGUCAUCUGAGGAUCAUCCUGGUAACUGGAAUCUCAAGUCCCAGGUCAAGAACAGGUACCGCAGGAUGAGGCGCAUGAAGGAUGCUGUGAUGUGUUCGUGAGAGAUCUAGGUCGUCGUCUCCCAGUCAACUUUGGGUUGCUGGACCGUUGUCUCCUUAUAAUGUAAUUAUUUAUUUAUUUAUUUUGUACAGAACUCCUAUUAUAUAAUAAAGAUGUGACAUUCGAUCCUGUG